rnacentral:rRNA from 1 species
CUACGGGUCGCACCAGUGGGGAAUAUUGCACAAUGGAGGAAACUCUGAUGCAGCAACGCCGCGUGGAGGAUGACACUUUUCGGAGCGUAAACUCCUUUUAUAUAGGAAGAAGAUGACGGUACUAUAUGAAUAAGCGCCGGCUAACUCCGUGCCAGCAGCCGCGGUAAUACGGAGGGCGCAAGCGUUACUCGGAAUCACUGGGCGUAAAGAGCGUGUAGGCGGAUUAAAAAGUCAGAAGUGAAAUCCUAUAGCUUAACUAUAGAACUGCUUCUGAAACUCUUAAUCUAGAAUAUGGGAGAGGUAGAUGGAAUUUCUGGUGUAGGGGUAAAAUCCGUAGAGAUCAGAAGGAAUACCGAUUGCGAAGGCGAUCUACUAGAACAUUAUUGACGCUGAGGUGCGAAAGCGUGGGGAGCAAACAGGAUUAGAUACCCGGGUAGUC